GUGGGGAAAAAAAAAAAGAGGAGACACGAGUUUUUUUGGGGUGUGUGUGUGUAUGUGUGUGUGUGUGUAUCGGGUGUGACACCACCGCCGCGCUCCUCCUUCAAAUCGCUCCGAGGGAGGUGAGCGGGGAGGACUCCCCCACCCUCUCCCCUUCUCGGGGACCCGCACAGCCCCGGGCUGCGGGGAGGGGAGGGCGGGUGGAUGGGGAGCCCCCUCCCCGCAUGCCCCUGCCCCGGUUCUUGCAGGACCCGCCCCGACUGGGUCUCAUCCUUCCUAUCCCUGGGGGGAGCACGGGGGACCCCCCCGGGGAAGGGGGUGCCGGUCACGGCGGCAGCCCCCGGUGCGGGGUUCGCGGCCGCGGCGCCCGCCUCCGCCCAUGACACGGCGCAGGGGGGGCUCUAGGGCGCGGGGGGAGGCCGGAGGCUGGAAAGGUGAGAGCGCGGAUUGCCGGAGUGCCGAAAGGAAGCUGCCAUUUGCGAGCUGUGAGUGACGAGCGUAUGAAAAAGGAUAGAUACUGUUCAGUGGACUUGGAAUUGUCUUUAGAGUUCAGUUAGAAGACGCACCCAGGACAUCCCACAUGGACCCCUUCACAACAACCACCGUGAUGUGAUGGGCAUACCAUUUCCAGGUACUAGGGUCUCCAAUCUGUCUAGCAUCUAGCCAGUAUCAAGGGGUUAGGAACUACUGUGAUGCAUGAGAUGAGUCAUCUGCUGCUGAGAUCUUGGAAGCAAGACUAAUCAUUAACACGCAUAUUGUUGGCAGUCUAAACUGUUCCCAUAUCACAACCCAGAGUUAUAGGAGAUGGGAACUCUCACCUUGCCUAGCAGAAACGUCACUGAUCUCUGCAUUCUCACCACGGCAUUGCUCACACAGUGGAAUAAAUUGUACUUGCUUGUCAGAACAAAGUUUUUAGUUAGGCCGGCAAGAAGUUUCAGUGUCUUAGAGAACUCAGAGAAAUACUUUUUCAGAGACUUUUAUUAUUAUUAUUAUUAUUUUAUUAUUUUUUUUUUAGACAUGGGGACUUCUCCUUUCGUGAACAGGUCUUCCUUCUAUUCCGUGAUUUUGGCCAACAAGGUUCACAAAGAGAAUGUGCUGCAAAGAGCUAUGAGUGGACAAGUACUAAAAUUCUGCGUAUUCCCACUGCAACGGCUGUUAACCCUAAUAGAAAUUAGGUAGAUGCCUGCCCAAUAUUAUUAUUAGAUUUUAUGUUUCACACAAAUGACAAAUCAUUGCUAUAAAAGUUGGAAAUAAUUUCCACUGGUAACAUUGAGAAUACACGAUAUAUUGCUCCUUUUCCAUUUACAUCUCUUUCCAUCUCUUUUCCUUUGAUCUCUUUUCUUUUUCACAGUUUUUGUAGACCCUGUUUUGUUCUUCUUUUCAGAAUUAAAACUUCAUGAGGUAGUCCAGAGGAUGUCAGAUUAAACUUGCAUUAGGAAUACUGUGAAGAGACAUUUUCAAUCCAAGCAAGUAAACAAUUUCUAUCUUUGAAAUAAUAGGAAUGCAUAUCUGCCAACAUUACAUUCUGUCGAACAUUUAAUAGAGUUUAAAAAAAAAUAAUAAAAGAAACAUUUAGUUUGGUCCUAAAAAAAGUAUAUAUAUCUUUAAGACAUUCCACGUUUUAUUUUAUUUUGUUCUAUUUUUUUUUCUAAUACAUUAUUUCCUAAUCAUUAAUGUAACAUUGUUUUUGGAAGUUACUAAUUACACUACUCUGAUAACCACAUGGGACCUUAAUUAACGAUUGUAGUCCAUUGCAAAAUGUACAUGUGUAUAAUGAAAAGGCAAUUAAAAUAUGUUGUUAGAUAACUUGGUUUUAUUACUUAAACUAAACCAAUUAGAUACAUUUUCUUAAAAAAAAAAAAGUCAGAAAGCAUGAUAUUUCUCUAUGUUGCAGUUGUUCUCUGCUAUCCAGCAGUGAAAACAAUAAUUAUUAUCAGUUCUUCAUGUUCUCAGAGUUGGCAGUGAUAUUAGUUUGCAUGAAGAAUAUAGCCAUGCAAAAGCACAGUAUCACUUUAGAGGAGAGGCUGCCAACGUCUCUGGUGAGACUUGCCAAAAAAACAGUCACAGUAGGGUGUCUCUACGAGCUCUCUAUCACUGUGCGUAUAGGUCUUGCUCUUAAGGAUAAUCACCUGCCACUGAAUGGAGCUAUUCACUAAGGCCAAGGGAGUGACUUAAAUACAGUCUCAAGCCUUUAAAAACUGCAAAGGUGCCAAUGCUCUCACUUUAUCAGGAGUCUCCGGAUACUUGGUUAACUUGGGCUCAGUGCCAUAUUAACACUACCACCCAGCCUUGGAACUGAAGUUGCUUUGUAGCUGGCCAGCUGGAAUUUGGGAUAGGUUGACACAUGAAUCUUUAUAUCUGCAUAUACAGCCUUGUUCUCAGUCUUCAAACGUAUCUGAAAAGAGAAGAGAAGAGAAGAGAAGAGAAGAGAAGAGAAGAGAAGAGAAGAGAAGAGAAGAGAAGAGAAGAGAAGAGAAAAGAAAAGA